rnacentral:lncRNA from 1 species
CACCCGCAGCUUGUUCCUGGGUGUCACCUCUUUGACCGGGUCACAUUUAUUGUAGCAACGGCCGUUAGCAACGCACCGAGUCCAUGGAGACAUGUCCGUCUGAAGGAAUGCGAGGCGACACGGCCGUCAGGUGAAUAUGGGAUGCAGCAGCUCUGUAAACACGGUCCAACCGCUGGGACCGGAAGAGGCGAAGGAGGACGAGGUAGGCUCCGUCUGUCACAACCCGCCACUUUCAGAAGGGUGAAACUGUGGAGGGGAGUUUAAAAUUAUUUUAAAGUAAAAACUAGUCUAGUAUUAGUGGACUGGACUAGACAUGUUGGCGUCAACGUGUUGUAGUCAGCUAGAGCUAACACUUUUGGGCGAAAAGUUAGCUACAGCUGUUACGCCGAAAUCUGUGUGCCAGUAAAUCUUGUGUCUUGAGAAGAAGAUUUGCUUCAAGUCUGCGUAACUGACUAACUGAGUCACUGUUACUUUAGUAAACUAUCAAAAUAUAAUUUGUAACAAGAUUAAAAAACACUUGGUGGUAGAGGUAUUAAUCUCAUUUACCAAAGUAAAAAAUAUCACAAUAUCAUAAUAUUUUAUUAAAAGUAAACCUGUAUGUUGUCAGCUAAAUGUACUUCAACUUGAUUUAAUGUGCACAUCACCCAGUGAGUUUCUGUGCACUUUACUAUAAAAAGUAAAACAGUGACAUGGUAUCCAUAAUGCACACAUAGAACCUGAAUCCCUUAAUUAUUUUACCUUACAAUGUCAGAAAUAUUAUAUAAUUGAAAUAUUUCAAGGGGAUUUUAAGAGGAUUAUUCAAAUACAAAUAAAGUAUCACAUAGCAAUAUAGUAAGAUGUUAUGAUUUAAGAUUUUAGGGAUUUUUAGGAGCUUUCAGUACAUGAGAAACAUCCCUGAAUUCUUACCUGUGUUUAAUAGUAAGACCCUUUCAGAGGAGGUUUUUAAACUUCUUAGAACCUUUUAUAUAAUGCAUUAUACAAUGCCUGAAGGUGCUGUUUCAAAGAAAAGUUAAUUUUUGAGUCAUUCCCAGCUCUUGGAAGUUUUGGGAUUGUAGGAGAAGUCGGCCACCAUCCCGGAGGGUCAGAAUUUGAUGAGUUGGGAAUGAGACUCAAAAAUCAGCUUUCCUUUCAAAUAGCACCUUUAAUAGGCACCUAAUUUACCCUUAAAUAAAUGUUGUGUGGAUUGUCAGCUAAAUGUACUUGAAUCUGUAUGUGUUACCUGCUUGUUUAUCAUUAUUGUUCCUGAGCUACUGUGUUCAUGACAAUGUGUCAACACACAAUGUCACCAUGACAGCAUCAUGUCUGGGAUACAGAAUGGGGUGAGGUUAUGGAAAAAUAUCUUGCGGCAUGUUUCUGUGUUCAUA